GCCUGGCUGGCUCAGUCUCUAGAGCAUUUGACUCUUGAUCUCAGGAUCAUGAGUUCAAGCCCCAUGUUGGGUG
rnacentral:tRNA from 1 species